rfam:Flavobacterium sp. LM4 Flavobacterium_sp_LM4_contig2, whole genome shotgun sequence.
CCCUAGCCCUGAUGGAAGCGGCAUCCUUUUGCGCCGGGGUUCGGCGUAAAAGAUACAGCGCACAGCAGGAAUCAGC